AUGUGUGGGAUUGACAUGGAAACGCUUUUUCAUGCGUUGCUACAGUGCGAUCAUGCACUUUUGUUCUGGCGGGAAGCUGAGGACUUCUUCCAGGUAAAUUUACCAAGGUUGCAUCCCGCUACAUGGUCUAAAGAUAUCCUGGAUCACACUGUAAUGAAGAAAGAGGAUACAUCAAUCAUAAUCUUUGUGAUGUGGGCAAUCUGGACCAAUUGUAACAAGUUUACACAUAAUGAGGUUCAGUUCCAGCCUCACAGAUUAAUGGAGAUCAUCAGGGAUCAUGUCCAAAGCCUGGAUUUUCCAAAACCAGGAGUGGAGAGACCAGCUCAGAGGCACUCUUGGGAGGCGACGGAGCAUGGUUGGAUGAAACUAAAUUCUGACGGGGCGGUUGAUCAGAUGCUGCAAUGUUCUGGAACGAGAAUAGUUGUGCGAGAUGGAGCUGGCCAGUUCCUUACUGGCAGGUGUAACAAAUACCAAGGGGCGCUUGAUCCGUUAGCGAUCGAGCUAUUAGCAUGUCGGGUAUAA
rnacentral:rRNA from 1 species